CCUAUUUUCUCUGUUCAAUUUUCACAUAUUUUCCCUUUUACUUGUCUUCUAAGUAUCUCCCUUCUGCUUUUAGGUCUUUUUUCUUCUUGAACAGCAACAAGAUCCAUACCAAUAUUUCAGACUUGCAAAAUUUACAAAAGAUUAAGCAGGCUAUAGGAGAUGUCAACCAACGCACAUUUCACAGGACGGAAAACAUUGUAAAGAAUAUAAAUUCCAUGAAUUAUUGCUCAUUCCUUGAAGGAGUCAAUCACCUGGAGUAUUUGAUAUCGCAUCCAACCACACAGGAUUCAGGAAGAACAAACUCUUUUCAUGGAAAGAAGCUUUGGUUCUAAAAAUCCUUAUCACAUGGAUUUGGCCUUGGGACCACGUGCUUUCCAGUGGUCAGCAGACCCUGCAAGUAGAGUCACACAUUUGCAAUUAAAAUAUUCUGGGUUAGUGUACACAGGAACAGUGAGUAUAAAAAAGAAAUGAGUAAAGCACCAACACUUGCUUCACCCACCCCACCUUCUGGGAGAUAACAGAAAAUAUAUAGUGUUGGUCUUUGUGCUAAAUUAUCAGAACUCUUGUAAUUUCCUAAGUGAUAAGAGCACCAGGAACAUCUUUCAUUAUUU
rnacentral:lncRNA from 9 species